UACGAAGGGGGCUAGCGUUGCUCGGAAUCACUGGGCGUAAAGCGCACGUAGGCGGACUCUUAAGUCGGUGGUGAAAUCCUGGAGCUCAACUCCAGAACUGCCUUCGAUACUGAGGAUCUCGAGUCCGGGAGAGGUGAGUGGAACUGCGAGUGUAGAGGUGGAAUGCGCAGAUAUCAGGAAGAACACCAACGGCGAAGGCAGCUCGCUAGGACGGUACUGACGCUGAGACGCGAAAGCGUGGGGAGCGAACAGG
rnacentral:rRNA from 1 species